rnacentral:misc_RNA from 1 species
GAUGAAGAACGCAGCGAAAUGCGAUACGUAAUGUGAAUUGCAGAAUUCAGUGAAUCAUCGAGUCUUUGAACGCACAUUGCGCCCCCUGGUAUUCCGGGGGGCAUGCCUGUCCGAGCGUCAUUGCUGCCCUCAAGCACGGCUUGUGUGUUGGGCCUCCGCCCCCCGACUCCCGGGGGGCGGGCCCGAAAGGCAGCGGCGGCACCGCGUCCGGUCCUCGAGCGUAUGGGGCUUCGUCACCCGCUCCGUAGGCCCGGCCGGCGCCCGCCGGCGACCCCCCUCAAUCUUUCCAGGUUGACCUCGGAUCAGGUAGGGAUACCCGCUGAACUUAAGCAUAUCAAUAAGCGGAGGA